AUUGGCCUUCGUUUCUCCAUACACUUUGUUCCAGUUUUGAUUUUAAAAAACUAUAAUAAUCAUUGUUUUAGCAGAGACUUAAAUUUCUAUGGCUUUCCUUUUUCUCCAGAGCUUAGGGGAGUGGUGGCAUCAUUGCCUCUUUUCUGUUUAAAGGUUCAAGCUUGACCAAGCCAUGGCCUGUGGCAUGCAUGCAGCCCAGAAUGGCUUUGAAUGUGGCCCAACAAAAACUAGUGAAUUUUCUGAAAAUGUUACAAGAUUUAUGCAUGAACCUUUUUUUUUUUUUCUCAUCAGCUAUCGUGAGUGUUAGUGUAUUUUAUGUGUGGCACAAGACAAUUCUUCUUCCAGUGUGGCCCAGGGAAGCAAAAAGACUGGACACCCUUCAAAUGAAACCUUCAGUAGCUAUAAUGAGGCAUUUCCUAACACAGAGGACAGAG
ensembl:lincRNA